UCCGUAGGUGAACCUGCGGAAGGAUCAUUACUGAAGAUAAAUCAGGGUUUUGAGACUGCAACCUGUUUGUGUGCUCAACCCUGAAACUCUUUCAUCCACACACACCUUUGUGCACUAUGGGGGGAAUUUUCCCUCCCUUUUUACAUUAAACACCUAGUUAUAUGCAUGUUUUUAUAAUACUCUACGGAGUAAAUAAUAUAACAACUUUCAACAACGGAUCUCUUGGCUCUCGCAUCGAUGAAGAACGCAGCGAACGUGCGAAACGUAAUGUGAAUUGCAGAAUUCAGUGAAUCAUCGAAUCUUUGGACGCAUCUUGCGCUCCUUGGUAUUCCGAGGAGCAUGCCUGUUUGAGUGUCAUGAAUUCCUCUCAAUUUCAAUCUUUUUUUGGAAUUGGAUUUGGGUGUUGUUGUGUUUCACAACUCAUCCUAAAUGCAUUAGCGAUCUGCCUGUGAUCACACACAAUGUGAUAAGUAAAAGAACAUUGUUUCGAUCGAGUCAGGAUUGCUUCCAACCUACACAUCAUGUCAUUUGACCUCAGAUCAGGCAGGACUACCCGCUGAACUUAAGCAUAUCAAUAAGCGGAGGA
rnacentral:rRNA from 1 species